rnacentral:lncRNA from 1 species
GUUGAGGGAGGAAACUGGAAAAAACCUGUCUUCUUCUUCCUUCCUUAAACUUUAGAAGUUCAAUUAUUCCUUUUAAUUGUACUUGAUCUCACAUUUCUACAGCUGUCGUGGAAGACAAAGAAUGCAUGGGUGUUUCUUUUUCAGGCCUGGGGAGAAAGAAAAACCAAAUUGCAUUGCACCGAACAUGCCCUUAAAACUACAGAUUUGUGCACAGUAAAAGGCUGCCUAGAAGAUCUGCUUGGGAAAGGAAGAAUUAUGAUGGCUGUACUGCAAGAGUUCUUAGAUUCAUUGGAUCUUGGAAUAUUAAGAACACAACAUAUGGCACUGGUGAGAAGAUAAUUAUUGCUCAAGUCUCUUACCUAAAGGCAUUUGUCCAAAAAGAAUGGAAAAGAAUGAGAAGAGCUUUCAGUUCAAAGCCUCAAAAGAUACAGCCUCC